rnacentral:tRNA from 1 species
GGCCCUUAGCUCAUUUGGUAGAGCGCCACAUUUGCAAUGUGGAGGUGACCGGUUCGAUC